rnacentral:rRNA from 1 species
AGCGAACGCUGGCGGCAGGCUUAACACAUGCAAGUCGAGCGGGCAUCUUCGGAUGUCAGCGGCAGACGGGUGAGUAACACGUGGGAACGUACCCUUCGGUUCGGAACAACUCUGGGAAACUGGAGCUAAUACCGGAUACGCCCUUAUGGGGAAAGGUUUACUGCCGAAGGAUCGGCCCGCGUCUGAUUAGCUAGUUGGUGGGGUAACGGCCUACCCAGGCGACGAUCAGUGGCUGGGCUGAGAGGAUGAUCAGCCACACUGGGACUGAGACACGGCCCAGACUCCGACGGGAGGCAGCAGUGGGGAAUAUUGGACAAUGGGCGCGAGCCUGAUCCAGCCAUGCCGCGUGAGUGAUGAAGGCCUUAGGGUUGUAAAGCUCUUUUGUCCGGGACGAUAAUGACGGUACCGGAAGAAUAAGCCCCGGCUAACUUCGUG